rnacentral:piRNA from 1 species
UGAGCACAGAUAGACCUAACAGGGAC